CAGUGGUUAGUGAAGGGGUCCAUCCAUGGCUCUGACACUCGGUGUGACCCUGAGCUGGUAGCUGAGGCCCGUUUGCUAUCAGUAGGGUUGGGGUCCCAUCGCUACAGCCCAGCGGGGUUGGGAGGCUCCAGGAAGGUGUGUAAAGUGCUGGGAUGUCAGGAUCCUGGAGGCGCUGUCACCUCCGCCCUAGGGCAGUGUUCUGCACCCCCCUGCUGCUGGCUGAGUUUCUCGAUCCCUUGGCAAUAAGACAGACUCUUGUUUUCACAGCCAGUCGAUCGCCCUCGUGUCAUCACCCUGCCUGCUGGCUGGGCAGGGUAACUCCUGAGGUCACCACCCUCUCCAGCCUGCCUUGGGCUUGGAGAGUGAGGAGGAGGGCGAGGGACGUCUGCUGACCCUGAACAUCUGCCAUCCAUCAUACCAUCACUGAGAGCAAGAUGGCCAGGCUCCUGCGGAUGUUGCGGAGGAAGGCUCUGCAGGUGACCCCAGAGCCUGAGGGAAGCAGCUGCCGUCUUCCGACGGGGCAGAGCAACCCCUGCGUCCCCGCUGGCGGGGAAGCAGCUCCCGUCCAGUCCAGAUGGCGGAAGUGCCCGGCCUUCUGGAGAAGGAACCCGGCUCCCGGCGCAGGCGCCGAGCUGGGAGCGGCCCCGACCAGGCCCCGGUGGAGCUGGCCCAGGCUGCGGUUUUGCAGACAGGACCCAGCCCAGGAGGGGCGCCGGGCAGGGUGGCUCUGGGGCUGGUUGUGUGGGCAGCAGCGGCCCCAGGAGCCCAGCCCUCGUUCCCAUCAGGAGGCCUCGCCCUGCCCGGUCUCUGAGGCCCUUCCAGCCCCCGCCGGCCAGGAGGGGGAAGGUCCCUGUCCCAGCACCGGCAGCUCAGCCUGGGACAGCGGCAGCACCUGGGCCUCUGGCAGCAGCCAGGCCGACGGGCGCCACUGCUUUGCUCCAGGGAGCCCCCUGGAUUCGGAGCAGGAGGAAGGGGUGGACGUGGCCAAAGAUGA